rnacentral:rRNA from 1 species
UACGGGGGGAGCAAGCGUUGUUCGGAUUUACUGGGCGUAAAGGGCGCGUAGGCGGCCUCCGCAAGUCAGUUGUGAAAUCUCCGAGCUUAACUCGGAAAGGUCAACUGAUACUGCGGGGCUAGAGUGCGGAAGGGGCAACUGGAAUUCUUGGUGUAGCGGUGAAAUGCGUAGAUAUCAAGAGGAACACCUGCGGCGAAGGCGGGUUGCUGGGCCGACACUGACGCUGAGGCGCGAAAGCUAGGGUAGCAAACGGG